rfam:Archaeon 13_1_20CM_2_51_12 13_1_20cm_2_scaffold_400085, whole genome shotgun sequence.
UGAUUGCUAGUUCCCACCGAAGCGGAUCCCAGUCCUGUCUCCGUGGAUGCAGCCAACGUUGUAGAGCACCAAUGAGAAGACAAGGAUUCGAAAGGGUCCACCUUCUUUUUGAACUCCGAAUGUGUUGGCGCAGUAGAAGCGGGGAGGCGGGUUUAUGUGGGGUAAGCCUCAUAACCGAGAGGGGAUUAACCCAGACUAUAGUUAAGGCCCCCAAAUGUGGGCUAAGUGUCAAGCAAAAGGGCGUCCUUGAGCUCAGACAGCAGGGAGGUAGGCUUAGAAGCAGCCACCCUUCAAAGAUAGCGUAACAGCUCACCUGCCGAGCUUGAGGGCCCCGAAAAUGGACGGGGCUCAAGUCCGCUGCCGAUACUAUAGACCAGUCUCGUGCGAGACUGUGUGGUAGGUGGGCGUGGAGGCUGGGCAGAAGCUGGGCCGUGAGGUCCAGUGGACCGGCUUCCAGUGUAGAACCUGGUAGUAGUAGCAGCGUAGUCGGGUGAGAAAGGGGUAUUGGCGCAAAAAUAUGGUGUGCACCUUACUGAUUAGGUGCCUGAU